UUUAUCCGACGUUUAACCGAGUAUCUAGUUUAGAGUAUGUCAGACUGUUAGCUUCAAACAUACGAAGUAUAAACUAGUUCAAAUUUUGAAGACGGAAUCGCUGCUUUUCUCGUUCUCCCUGCCUUCCAUAAUUUUAUGCUUGGUAUCACUCGUUUGUGUAGGUGAUUCUGCCCAUCCAUGGCUUCUUCUGCUUACCCUUCGUUGAGAUAAAUCAAUACAAGAGUUACAUAAUGAUAUCUUCGAGGCCUGAUUUACAAAGAAUUAAAAGAUAAUUUUUUGGAAGAAAUACUACAGGAGAUCGUGAGCAACCAUUGAAAUUAGUUGGGGAGCAAUACAUUAUACAUAGGAAACUUUCUACAAAUUUGGUCCCUUUCUGUUUACUUCUCACCGUGAUUUUUAACCUAUCUUUUCAUCACAUCCACAAUUUCUUCCUUCUUCCUAUAAAAUAUACAUUUUGCCAACUUUUUACGUUUUUUGUUUUGGAGUAAAUUUGGUAAAAAAUUAAUGGAAUAGGGUGGAGUAAAAAACAUGUAGCAUUCCCUUGUCAAAGAUAUUAAAUUUUCAAUAAUAAAUUUUCAAUAAUGGUAGGGCAGAUUGCUCGUAUUCUGGUAAAUUUUCUAGAAGUGGCAAUCACUUCCAUCGUUUUCCACAAAGGUGUCUAUCCAUCUGGAGCAUUUGAGAGGCGAAGGUACAUGAAUUUAGUGGUUCAAAAAGCAAAGCAUCCUGAACUCGAAAACUACAUACAUUCUGCAGUUAAUGGACUCGUUCCUUUUUUGGAAAAGGGUGUUGUUGAAAGAGUUGUAGUUAUAUUCUUUGAUUCGGAUAACAGCCCGCUGGAAAGAUAUAAUUUCAAAUUUCAAGUGAACCAAUCUGGUGGACCGAAAGUGCAAGAAUCGGACCUUGGAUUCUCUCUUAGAUCAUUUCUUGUCAAGUUAUCUUUGUCAAAGGCUCUUGCCAGGGUUCUGCCAAGGGAUUGCAGGUGGGAGAUUACUGCUUUUUUCAGUCCUGAAGCUCAAAUUAGUAUAAGCAAUCCCGUGGAGCAUUGGAUCCCAACAAACACCAAACAAUGGCAGAAAAUUCCCCUGAUAACUCCUAUAAAGUCCAUGAGCUCUGAACCUCUUAGUUUGCAGUUGUACAUGGAGCAUCCCAGCUUGUCUGAAGCAAACUCUGAUCAGAUAUAGUUCUAAUUUCAAUUGAGGUAUAAAUUGCUAAUGCAAAUGAUUUCAAGGCUACCAACCAAGCUAGCAGAGAGCAAGAUCUGAUAUUUAGUCCAAGCACAAGUACAGUCAAAUUACAAUAGCGGGUGUUCGUUAAGGCCCAAAGGGGCCCCACCCCUCUGAAAAUUUACUGCUCGUUGUACAAAAGCAAAAGCAAAAUGAUUUCAAGAUCUGCCACCGAGUCUAGAGGCAUAUCAUGUUCGAGAGCUUGCAUCAGUACGGAGGCCUAAUCUCGUUCUGUUGGAAGUUGGAUUAAACAUCCAAACAGGCCUCCAUUAUCUACAUCCUUGAUCAAGUCAUCAGCAUCCGAGCAAUUCAUUCUCGGGGUAAAUGUUACACGUUAUUACCUUCCGAAGGGCGAAGGCAGCUGCCAUAUUUAGUGUGCGGUUUAUCGCUGUAUGAUGAUUCACGAGUCUUCAUGUCGUUUGAAUCCUGUUUUAGACAAUCACAAAUGUAAAUUGCGAUAAAAUCCUUGGAGCUUUGCUAUCCUUGUGGUAUACACUAUAUAGUAUAUAUACAUCUAUUUCAUUGAUUAUUAAGAGUUGCUAUGCUUAGUUAGGUUGAUGGGUUUUUAGAGAAUAGGGUUGUGUGGUGGAGGAGGAGGGGGAUUGUGAUGUAAAAGGUAGUGAGAGGGUGGGUUGGGUUGUGUGAGGUUUUUUUAUGUUAACUAGGUAGAUUUCUGUGCUAAGCUCGAUUUAUAAAUGAUUUAAAUAAAAAUAUACUAAUUUUAUAUG